rnacentral:rRNA from 1 species
UACGUAGGGUGCAAGCGUUGUCCGGAAUCAUUGGGCGUAAAGCGCGCGUAGGCGGCCCGAUAAGUCCGCUGUAAAAGUCAACGGCUCAACUGUUGAAAGCCGGUGGAUACUGUCGGGCUAGAGUACGGAAGAGGCAAGUGGAAUUCCUGGUGUAGCGGUGGAAUGCGCAGAUAUCAGGAGGAACACCUGUAGCGAAGGCAGCUUGCUGGGACGUUACUGACGCUAAGGCGCGAAAGCGUGGGGAGCGAACAGG